GGACAAAAUGGCGCAAACAUAUUAUGCACUGAGGUUAUUGCUUAAAGAAACAUCUAUGAAAAACAAUGUGUUCCAUUUCUAACACCUUGUCAGUUUGCAAUAUCUCUUAAAGACAAAGUACACAGUUUAAGAAAUACAACAUUUCAUUCUAAAACUUGUAAUAUUUGUAUUUGCCCAUAACACCCUCUCCAUUAAACUGUG